ACUGGCUGUUUCUGUAUUGGCACUGGUAUAGUUUCAAGGUAAACUAUGGGUCUCGAGGCCAAUACAGCAAACCUUGAAUUAUACCAGUGCCAAUACAGAAACAACCAGU
rnacentral:pre_miRNA from 1 species